CUUGGUGACCAAUGAUCAACUUAGAGAUGUGAAAUGAGAGAUGCAAAUGUGAAGUGUUUGUAAGUGGUCUGGAUGAAAGACUUGUGGGUUUCCUGUUUUGAAAUGCUUAGAUGUUGAAUUGAAACCAUUACAAUAAAACAAAGAACCUUGUGAAUUUUGUAUGGAAACUUUGAUUCAGAAACUUUGACCCUCAUGACAGGCAUAAAUUGACUGAAAGAAUAUGAAAUGUAAAGUGCAAAAUGUCUCAUAUAAGGAUGCUUAUCGCUAUGUCUGAACUAAAGAUAUAGUUAAAAAUAUCAAUCAGAUAAACUUAAGUUAUCUUGAACAUUUCCAUUUUUAUGAACCUAUCAAGUGCCUGAUCACAAAGCCAAAUAAGAGCAAAAAAGUCUAAAAGGUAACUGGUGACUGGUUGAAAAUGCUAUAAAUUUUCGUACUUUCAAACAACAGCUCAAUUUAGUGCCAACCCUUUAUGACGCAGGCUGUUUUAGGUAAAACUUUCCAUUGACGUGAACCAAUCAGAUGAGGGUUGGCGUCUGCAUUAAGACCCUAACCAGUGUCGCUUAUUCACAACAUUGACUGAGAUGGAGAGGCCAAGACUUGCUCUUAUCGCACUCAUGUGUAAGAAAAUUUUUUACUUCUUCAGCUAAAUGAAAAUGUCACUACUGUUAAAAUUUUGGAAUAAUAGUACAAUUUAAACCACUUCAUGAAGUUAUUUUGUUCUUUUACAGUUUUACUGUUUCAUCAGAAAUUAAUCUUUGGAGAAGAAGUGGAGAUGAAAGUUAGACCAGGAGACAACAUCACUCUCUACUGUGAUCGCUCUGUAACUCUUGGUUCUGUUGUUGUAUGGAUAAGAAACUGCUCUCAUGAAAAUCAUCCUUCUCUCAUUAUAGAUUAUAAGAAACUGGACCUGAAAAUAUUUCAGCGAUUCAGCUUUAUCCACAACCCCUAUAAUAAUUCUCAUGAUCUACAUAUCACUAACAUCAGUGUCUCUGAUCUGGGACUUUACUACUGUGCAAAAGUAGAGAAAAAGGUAAAUCAAAAUGAAAAAGGCAUCCUCUCCGGAUCUGAGGUGUACUAUUAUGGAAACCAAACAACUCGUCUUUCUCUGGAAUUGACUUCCUGUUCUGAACCCUCUGCACCUCCUGACUGUCUGCUUUGCUGGACGCUGCUGUUCAGUGUGUGUCCGGUGUGUCUUCUCCUCUCCUCCAUAUGUGUGGUCUGCUUCUGUUGUAAGAAAACGACAGAUGCUGCGACAGAUCAGACAGAUAAGUUAAAAGGUAGAAAUACAGCUGAGUGCUUGGAUGAAGAGGUGUGUUAUGCAUCUUUAGAUGUGAUUACCAAGAGACAGCAACAACGCAAGACAAAGCGAGUGCAGAGUUCUGACUUCAGUACUUACGCUCAGGUCAGAACACAAACUGAAUAGACCUAAGACAGAACUGAGGUGGAUUCUGAAACUUUCCAAACAUAAGAAAAGUUGCAGGUUUCAUUGUCAUGUAACAUCACAUGUAAUCAUACAAGGUAGAGGACUUUUUACUAUUACAUUUGAAUGUAAAAUAUAUGUAAUUCCAAACUAAUAAAUUCAAACAUGUAAUUUUGUUAAUCUGGUAG
ensembl:lncRNA